GACGAACGCUGGCGGCGUGCCUAAUACAUGCAAGUUGAGCGCUGAAGGUUGGUACUUGUACCAACUGGAUGAGCAGCGAACGGGUGAGUAACGCGUGGGGAAUCUGCCUUUGAGCGGGGGACAACAUUUGGAAGCGAAUGCUAAUACCGCAUAAAAACUUUAAACACAAGUUUUAAGUUUGAAAGAUGCAAUUGCAUCACUCAAAGAUGAUCCCGCGUUGUAUUAGCUAGUUGGUGAGGUAGAGGCUCACCAAGGCGAUGAUACAUAGCCGACCUGAGAGGGUGAUCGGCCACAUUGGGACUGAGACACGGCCCAAACUCCUACGGGAGGCAGCAGUAGGGAAUCUUCGGCAAUGGACGAAAGUCUGACCGAGCAACGCCGCGUGAGUGAAGAAGGUUUUCGGAUCGUAAAACUCUGUUGGUAGAGAAGAACGUUGGUGAGAGUGGAAAGCUCAUCAAGUGACGGUAACUACCCAGAAAGGGACGGCUAACUACGUG
rnacentral:rRNA from 1 species